UACGUAGGGUGCAAGCGUUGUCCGGAAUCAUUGGGCGUAAAGAGCUCGUAGGCGGUCUGUCGCGUCUGCUGUGAAAACCUGGGGCUUAACCCUGGGCUUGCAGUGGGUACGGGCAGACUAGAGUGCGGUAGGGGAGACUGGUAUUCCUGGUGUAGCGGUGAAAUGCGCAGAUAUCAGGAGGAACACCGGUGGCGAAGGCGGGUCUCUGGGCCGUAACUGACGCUGAGGAGCGAAAGCGUGGGGAGCGAACAGG
rnacentral:rRNA from 1 species